UAACGCACCGAGAACGCCGCCGGCCCUCCAGGCCAGAUCCUACAGCUUCCCUCUACCUGCCAACACCCCGCCCAGCUUGCAGAACACAGUGAUUGCUGAAGAGGAUAUAGAGACACUGGAGGAAGGAGUGUUUGAUGUCCACCUAUAACCAGGUGAAAGAGACCGUCACUAUAGUUGCUAAAGAAAAGUCCACCUAUUUUGACACUUUUUACUGCAGUCCCACUAUGAUAGUUACUGACUGACUGUGCUUACAGUGUAACACGUUGUUGUGUAUUAUGUUAACACUCAUUAAGGAAUCAGUGUGAUGUUAAGAUCACAAAAGAAUAGUUCAAAGAGAAUCAGCAAAAAGAUCACUCGCAUUCCGUUUGACCAAACAUCUGCUGCUUGAUUGCUGCGCAUUAAAGGAGGAGAUCUUUUAAGAAAAACCCAGAAAAGGCCUGCCUCGAUCCUAAGAGAACAACAUCUGCCAACGUGCAAAUUUGAACCUUUUUAAAUAUGUUAAUACUCGACACAUGCAAAAUGCAAGGUGUAAAACUUUUUGAGGAAGGUUUACCAGACUAUUUCCUGCCAAGUAACCUGCUGGAGUCAUCACAGUGACAUUGUUAUGCAGCCCGCAAGCAACCCUGGUGUUUAAGUAGUUAAGUAGGUCUCUGCUAAGCACAUUUAGUUACCUCGGGGAAGAGCUACGACGGCUUUGACCCCUUUUUCAAUCUUUUUGCUAACCGACCGCUGGGUGUAGCUUCAAACUGUUUGUACUGACCAUGAACUGUUUGUACAGACGCCCAACGCGCCCCCAUUUCCCUCCGACUGUAAAGAAGUGAAACCAAAGUAGCUGCCAGAAAAAAAGUAAAUGACAGUAUUUUCCAAAAUGUUGAGCUCUUCUUUUAAAAUCGGACUCCCAAAAUAAUAGAAGCAAGUCCAGCAGCGUAGGAAAUACCUCGAUGUCCUCGAACUAACAACCUCUGUGGCUUGUGAACCGGCUAUGUAUACUGAUCAUUUUGCAUCACAGAUGCAUAUCAGUAUUAGAACACUCCAAUUUGUAUUCCCGGGUUUGAGAUAGUAGGAAAAAUAUGAAACCUGGAAAAUGUAGUUCCUGAACAUAAGUAUUAUUAAAUUAAAGUCACUGCUCCGAGUAUUCCGGACGAGUUAGUUUGCUGCAAUUUGAUUUAACACAAAUGUUUAUUAGAAUGUCUGUUAACUGAAAUAAUAAAGGUGUUGUAACUUAAUAAACUGUAAUUUAUCACAGGCAUAUGAGAUAAUAAUUGCUACCUUAAGGCGCAUUAUUAUCUCAUUUUAUAUUAAUCUCUGCAUGUUCUAAAGUCAAUUUAUUCAAAUCAGCACACACCAUUGUGAAUGUUUCGUCUCUGGAGUUGCUUUGUACAGGACACUGCCAUUAUACACUUUUAACACAGUGCUGCCGUAUCUUCAUUAAGACUCUUUCAGUAUUUAAUCCUGUCCCAGGGGAUUGUAAAAGGCACAAUUCUCACAGGGGCCUUGAAUUUAAGUAUAUUUUGAUAAUCGGGCAAGGUGUGUCAGCGAGUGUGUUUCUCAAUUUUCGAAUUCGAAUCCCUCCCACGGUUUGCAUGCAAGAAGCCAAAUGGGCGGCAGCCAGACAGGAUGUGCUACAGAAUUUCCCUUUUACAACCCUGAACUGUUGUAACAUUGGGACAUUGCAGUAAACACCCGCCAGGACACCGACAGGCUGCCACGCAGUGGACAGUUACUGCAACAGCUUACUCACAGGAAUGUGACUACCAAUGUGAAUGGAAUGUCUUUGUAUGUUUUAUAUGUCUGCAUUUUGAUUCCGUCUUGCCCGAGAGAGUUUUUACUGUAAAACUAACUAUGUAUAAAAAUAAAAAGAUUCCACAAAAUUGUAUUUUCUGGGUGGAAUGUUAGAGUUUAUAAUUUGAGUGCACUCUGCUGCAAAUUUGAAUGGAUCUUUACUUUCCUUUUUCUCUUUUCUUUAGAACACAAACAUGGUGGAAAGAAUAUAAACCUGCCACCCAAACAAAGCCACUGUCUUCUUUGUCUGAGAAGCUCUGCUUGUGGUUGUUUUUCAUCUUGUUUUGAAAUACAUUUCAAUGGGACAAUAAUAGGACCAAUUUUUAUGUCAAAUGAAAAAAUGUUUAUUCGUGAUGUCUGUCUGAAGCAUGAUGACAAGAGCAACAAUUUUCCCAACUGUUGGACAGUAAUGACUAUGAUGAACUUUGGACAAUGGUGUAUUUAUUUUGCCAUGUGUACCUGAAUUUUGUUAACUGCCCAAUAGUUAUUGCUGUGGUGUUGUUUUCAGUAUUACAGUGUCUUGUACCAGUGCACUGAUAGAUGAUCCGUCCUCUUGCAGUACAGUGAAUGUAGCACUAACAGUGAAGUGCUGCGGACGGAUGAAGUCUCCAUCUAAGACUGCGUGAGAGCAGGACGCUAGUUACUGCCACCGAGUCCAGUUUCUGUUUGUGCCUCGAGUUCUUAGAGUGUCUGUAGAAAUAAAUAAUCCUGGCGUAAUGAAACUUCCACUUGACAGCAGUGAAAAAAUCUCAUCUUGUUUCUUGAAAAUCUGUUUUGAUGCUACUUGUAUUUUGCUGUUUCCAUCCUGCAUGCUUCUGCCUUCAUGGCUUUAUUCUCUGGCCAGACAGGAGGAUUUUUAAAUUUGUUGCAUGCCAAAUUUUGUUUUUAUUUAGGAGACAGAGACAUUCUAGACAGCGGACCUGCUUUGUGAUUGUGAAGAGAUGAAUUCAGACUUUGAGUACCACAUUGUUAAGUGCACGUUUUGCCAUUGUAUGAGACUUAAUUGUUGUGUUUAAAUAUUGCUAAAUAGCUUACGGUCCUUCUGUGUCACUGACUGCCUAAUGAAAGAUGUUUGUUGUCAUUCUGUGAAUGAAUCUUUCAAACCGAUGCCGUGCUGCUCCUUGCUGUCCACUUAUUCCCCAGUAUUAAAUGCAACGGGCGCCACUCA